GACGAACGCUGGCGGCGUGCUUAACACAUGCAAGUCGAACGGAAAGGCCCUGCUUUUGUGGGGUGCUCGAGUGGCGAACGGGUGAGUAACACGUGAGUAACCUGCCCUUGACUUUGGGAUAACUUCAGGAAACUGGGGCUAAUACCGGAUAGGAGCUCCUGCUGCAUGGUGGGGGUUGGAAAGUUUCGGCGGUUGGGGAUGGACUCGCGGCUUAUCAGCUUGUUGGUGGGGUAGUGGCUUACCAAGGCUUUGACGGGUAGCCGGCCUGAGAGGGUGACCGGCCACAUUGGGACUGAGAUACGGCCCAGACUCCUACGGGAGGCAGCAGUGGGGAAUAUUGCACAAUGGGCGGAAGCCUGAUGCAGCAACGCCGCGUGCGGGAUGACGGCCUUCGGGUUGUAAACCGCUUUCGCCUGUGACGAAGCGUGAGUGACGGUAAUGGGUAAAGAAGCACCGGCUAACUACGUGCCAGCAGCCGCGGUGAUACGUAGGGUGCGAGCGUUGUCCGGAUUUAUUGGGCGUAAAGGGCUCGUAGGUGGUUGAUCGCGUCGGAAGUGUAAUCUUGGGGCUUAACCCUGAGCGUGCUUUCGAUACGGGUUGACUUGAGGAAGGUAGGGGAGAAUGGAAUUCCUGGUGGAGCGGUGGAAUGCGCAGAUAUCAGGAGGAACACCAGUGGCGAAGGCGGUUCUCUGGGCCUUUCCUGACGCUGAGGUGCGAAAGCGUGGGGAGCGAACAGGCUUAGAUACCCUGGUAGUCCACGCUGUAAACGGUGGGUACUAGGUGUGGGGUCCAUUCCACGGGUUCCGUGCCGUAGCUAACGCUUUAAGUACCCCGCCUGGGGAGUACGGCCGCAAGGCUAAAACUCAAAGGAAUUGACGGGGCCCCGCACAAGCGGCGGAGCAUGCGGAUUAAUUCGAUGCAACGCGUAGAACCUUACCUGGGUUUGACAUGGAUCGGGAGUGCUCAGAGAUGGGUGUGCCUCUUUUGGGGUCGGUUCACAGGUGGUGCAUGGCUGUCGUCAGCUCGUGUCGUGAGAUGUUGGGUUAAGUCCCGCAACGAGCGCAACCCUUGUUCACUGUUGCCAGCACGUUAUGGUGGGGACUCAGUGGAGACCGCCGGGGUCAACUCGGAGGAAGGUGGGGAUGACGUCAAGUCAUCAUGCCCCUUAUGUCCAGGGCUUCACGCAUGCUACAAUGGCUGGUACAGAGAGUGGCGAGCCUGUGAGGGUGAGCGAAUCUCGGAAAGCCGGUCUCAGUUCGGAUUGGGGUCUGCAACUCGACCUCAUGAAGUCGGAGUCGCUAGUAAUCGCAGAUCAGCAACGCUGCGGUGAAUACGUUCCCGGGGCU
rnacentral:rRNA from 1 species